UCCUACGGGACGCAUCACGCGCGAAAACUCUACAAUGUGCGAAAGCGCGAUAAGGGAACUCUGAGUGCCUCCUAAGGAGGCUGUUCAGGUGUCUAAAAAGCAUCUGGAGUAAGGGCUGGGCAAGACCGGUGCCAGCCGCCGCGGUAAA
rnacentral:rRNA from 1 species